ensembl:lncRNA
UGCUUCUGUCUCACAAUUACACUUUCAGGUAAACCUGUACACUCAGUUCAAAACAUAUUCACACGAGAUCCAGACCUAAUCAUGCCUUCAUGAUUCAGGCAUGGGGGUGUGAAUACGUUUUCCACCCCAUUCGUUAACGCAAAUCUGUCCGACAAUGAAUAGUACAAUAUUAUGCGUGCACUUGUGAUCGCAGUGUCAAAUUAAAUUUGACACACUAAUUAAAAGUUAAGUUCCUUUGUCACGUCCUGCGCCUCUGGGCCACCAGGUGGCGCUAAAUCUAUACUGGUCUCCCUUUCCUAAUCUUCCAUUUACUGUAAUAAUCUCCUUUUCUGGUCCUCCUAUAUCACCUGUGUGAGGUACUCAUUGUGACAAGCUUGUCAUGUACAAUGUGAACAUGCGUUUCUCUAUUUCAGAUUUAUCAGAGAGAGACCUGGGAGGACAAAACCGCAAUCAAAUCAUCAGAAAUCCCAUUCAUAAACCCCAUAACAUGUAUCAUAAACACAAAGUACAUCAUGAAUGAUUAUUUCCUUAAACUAAUUUAUGGCAGCGGGAACUUAUAUAAGUGUAGAAAAGCUUAAUGAUUACAGCCAGAACAGAGACCCAUCUAGUCAUGAUGUAAAUUCAUGCAGAUUAAAGGACCACUGUGGUAUUAUAUAUUAAAUGAAGUUGCGGAGAAUGGUUGCAUACUCACACGCCCCUUACAGUGUAGGAUUUUUAAGUUUCAUUUUUCACACCACCCUGCCUCUACACCGCCUCUAUAUAAACUCUUAGCGCAAAGUCAUAAAGUCUUAGCACAAAACAUACAACCAGAAGAUGGAUAUUGGCACCAUUGCAACAGUUGUGGGAGCCGCUGGUACAGUGGCGAUGGCCCCUGCGGCCCUGGCUGCUGCAGGCUUCACCAGCGCUGGAAUAGCGGCGGGGUCUGUGGCAUCCGCAAUGAUGUCCACUGCAGCAGUGGCGAACGGAGGAGGGGUGGCCGCUGGUGGCCUGGUGGCUGCUCUGCAGUCCGCAGGUACGUUUAUUCAAUGAGUUCAAGUUGGCCGUCCAAUACCCCUCCCGGAUUUAAUAUUAUUGUGUGCAUAAAAAAAAGAGGGUUUUAUUUCCUAGGUGCUGCUGGUCUGUCCGGAGGAGCCACGGCUGCGGCGGGGGCGAUCGGUGGGGCUUUGGGCUGGGUGGCAUCUCUGUUCUAG